GACUUGGAAGAAAAACUCUUGGCGACAGCGGCAUUUCAUAAAAGUAACAGGCCCGGCCGACUUUCCUUUGACAAGAUCCAUCGUUAUGCAGAGGUUAAUGCCUAUCUCGACGAGUUGGCUGAGAAAUACGAUACCGUAACUGUGGUAUCUGCUGGCAAGAGUUUCGAAGGUCGUGACAUAAGAUACUUAAAGAUUUCUACCACCAACUUUGAGGAUACCAAUAAGC